UACGUAGGGUCCGAGCGUUGUCCGGAAUUACUGGGCGUAAAGAGCUCGUAGGUGGUUUGUCACGUUGUUCGUGAAAACCCACAGCUCAACUGUGGGCGUGCGAGCGAUACGGGCAGACUAGAGUACUGCAGGGGAGACUGGAAUUCCUGGUGUAGCGGUGGAAUGCGCAGAUAUCAGGAGGAACACCGGUGGCGAAGGCGGGUCGCUGGGCAGUAACUGACGCUGAGGAGCGAAAGCGUGGGGAGCGAACAGG
rnacentral:rRNA from 1 species